CUUCGGGGAUGGAUUAGCGGCGAACGGGUGAGGAACACGUGAGGAAUCUGCCUUCAACACUGGGAUAACUCCGGGAAACCGGGGCUAAUACCGGAUACGAGAGCUGCAGGCAUCUGCGGCUCUGGAAAGUUUUUCGGUUGAAGAUGACCUCGCGGCCUAUCAGCUUGUUGGUGAGGUAAUGGCUCACCAAGGCGACGACGGGUAGCCGGCCUGAGAGGGCGACCGGCCACACUGGGACUGAGACACGGCCCAGACUCCUACGGGAGGCAGCAGUGGGGAAUAUUGGGCAAUGGAGGAAACUCUGACCCAGCGACGCCGCGUGCGGGAUGAAGGCCUUCGGGUUGUAAACCGCUUUCAGCAGGGAAGAAGCGAAAGUGACGGUACCUGCAGAAGAAGCACCGGCUAACUAUGUGCCAGCAGCCGCGGUAAUACAUAGGGUGCAAGCGUUGUCCGGAAUUAUUGGGCGUAAAGAGCUCGUAGGUGGUUCGUCACGUCGGAUGU
rnacentral:rRNA from 1 species